rnacentral:rRNA from 1 species
UUGAGCUUGAUCAUGGCUCAGAUUGAACGCUGGCGGCAGGCCUAACACAUGCAAGUCGAGCGGAAACGAUGGAAGCUUGCUUCCAGGCGUCGAGCGGCGGACGGGUGAGUAAUGCAUGGGAAUCUGCCCGAUAGUGGGGGAUAACCUGGGGAAACCCAGGCUAAUACCGCAUACGUCCUACGGGAGAAAGCAGGGGAUCUUCGGACCUUGCGCUAUCGGAUGAGCCCAUGUCGGAUUAGCUUGUUGGUGAGGUAAUGGCUCACCAAGGCGACGAUCCGUAGCUGGUCUGAGAGGAUGAUCAGCCACAUCGGGACUGAGACACGGCCCGAACUCCUACGGGAGGCAGCAGUGGGGAAUAUUGGACAAUGGGCGAAAGCCUGAUCCAGCCAUGCCGCGUGUGUGAAGAAGGCCCUACG